GACUGCAAAACGACAUUAUGCGCAUGUGGACUGCCCUGGACACGCGGAUUAUGUUAAAAAUAUGAUUACGGGAGCUGCCCAGAUGGAUGGUGGUAUACUUGUUGUAUCUGCACCUGAUGGACCAAUGCCUCAAACCAAGGAGCACAUUCUUCUGCUCGCCAAGUUGGUGUGCCAUCUCUUGUUUGCUUUCUAAAUAAAGUUGAUGCUGUUGAUGAUCCAGAGUUGUUAGAGCUUGUAGAAAUGGAGUUACGUGAGCUACUGAGCUUCUACAAGUUCCCUGGGGAUGAAUCCCGAUCAUUAGAGGUUCAGCGUUGUCUGCUUUACAGGGUACAAAUGACGAGAUUGGAAGACAGGCCAUUCUAAAAUUAAUGGAUGCUGUAGAUGCAUACAUUCCUAACCCUGUUCGCCACUUGACAAGCCUUUCCUAA